CGGACGAGCUCGCGCGCUCCCGGAAUCUUCAUGCGUUCGAUCCGCUGGAGGCGCGAGGUGCCCGCUGUAUUGUACGUGACGGGUGAGGACAGUUAAUGUGCGUACGUAACGGGCAAGAGACGUUGGUGGCGCGGGCGUUAGACGAGGAUUUCACGGUGUUUAUUUAACGCGUCGUUUGUCUACUGUUCUGGACUUGUGUGUACCGGAAGUACGAGAUGGCCUGUAACGGUGAGGUACAGUAAGUAGUUGGCCGGCCCACUGGAUGUAUUUAACGCAAUCCAUGGGUGCUUCUGGAUCUGGUCCCCAUUCGAUCCGCAAAUCGCAAGACGAAACCCUAGACUCGCCCCACAGUUUCUUCUAGGUCGUCCCAAAUCGGAGAAGAUAGAACCCUAGGUAUCGAAGAUGGCAGAUCCAGUAGCGGAUCCAGCUGCUCUGCCAAUCGUGCCUUGUCCGGAUUGCGGCAGGAACGUGGUGACCUACGUUGCUAGGCGCGGGAAGAACGCCGGUCAGCGUUUCUACAAGUGCCGGAAUCACAACCCUUCAGCGGGCGGAUGCGAUUUCUACAGGUGGCAGGAUGGCUAUGCGGCGCAUCUCGCCAAUCUUGAAGGAGGAGAAGCUGUUGUGGGUCAAAUCGGUCGAGGUCAGAUGUAGGGUGGGCAAGCGGUCUAAGCUCAAGUUGUGCAGGCGCUUCACGGCUAGCCGGUGCAGCAAAAUGGGCCGCCGGAGGCGUCGCAAGCUGCAUCGUUUGCAAGUGCGGUUGCAGGAUAUAUGCUCGCGGCUGCUCCAGUUGCCGGUCGGCAGGGUGUGACCGUCGCCGACGCCGCCUCCAUCAACCUGGUGGUAUCAGUAGCAAACCUGAUAAUUGGGGUGGCAAUUCUGCUGUUGCUUGUGGCAGAUGUUGUCCUGCGCGUGGUUAAUUAGGCGAUGUGGCCGUUCUUAUGUGGCCGAGAUGGCAGCGUGGUUAAUUAGGAUUAGGCUUAGUGUUAUGUAAUAGUACGUUAUGAUUUUGUAGUUGGUCGAAGCGUGGACGCCAAGUGUGAGUGACGAUGUAACCAUGUAGUGCUAAGUGUGGACGAGCUGCAGAUGUAAUGUCGUGUUAUCUAAAUGCUAUGGAUGAGCUGAUGGUUUGAUGCCUACGGUGUGUGAAAUAUGUCGUUUUUUAUUCUGUCAGAAUGGGAGUUAGGAGAGAAGGCUUUUUAGAAUGAAUGUCAUUUUUCUUUUUUGGAUUUUAAGUCGUGAUUUGUAGGAGCUGGCGUGCAUGUCUGAAACGGAUGGUCACCAAGAGGGUUAACCAUUGUUUGUAUGCAGAUAUUCCGGCAUAAUUUUUUU